rnacentral:rRNA from 1 species
GAAAGUAUUUGAUCUUAUUAUGGUGGAUACCUUGGUUUAUAAUGCGAAGAAAGACAAAGCUAGAUUUGAUAUUUAAAAUGAGUUGUAAUCUUUCAACAUUAAAUCUCUGAAAACAUGAUAAACGCCCUUGUUGGUAUUGUAUUUGACUUAAUAAAUAUAGAUUUACAUUUGAUACCUUUUGUGCUAUGUGCAAUAAGGUUAGUUUCUGAGAAAUUAUUAAUUUUGAAACAAACCAAAACUGAUUGUUAUUUUUUAAGUUAAAUAAGUGUAACCUACAGAAUUUAAGCAUAUUACUAUGUAGAGGAAAAUAAAACAAAUGUGAUUCUUUGAGUACUGGCGAAGGAAAAAAGAAUUUGUAAAUUGGGGAUUUAUUGAUGUUUUAGUAAUUUGACCUAAUAUGUGUUUGUGCUUAGCGUAGUUUAUUAGUAAUGGGAAGUAUGAGUAAGAAUGGUGAGACUCUGUUGAAAUCUCGACAUUAAGUGCACAGAAUAUUAAAUUUAGUAAGGCUUUUUCAAAUUGAAGUCUAAAGUGGUAGGUAAUUUCCUAUUAAUGCUUUUUAUUAUUAUAAACCGAUAGUGAAUAAGUACUGUGAGGGAAAGGUGAAAAGACGGCUUAGAAAGUCAGUGAAAAGUUCUGAAAUCAUAGUGGUAGAAGGGGAGAGUUAUUAUGAAUUGUUAUGUUUAUUUUUAAUCAUAAUAAUUGUGAAUAUAGUUUUUUUUAAAUACUUUAUUGAUAUUUAUAAUAAUUUCCCGCCCGUCUUGAAACACGGACCAAGGAGUCAUUCAUUUUUAUAAGUAUAUAACAUUAAUUAUUAAUACAUUUAAAUAAAAUUGAUUGGACCCGAAAGGUGGUGAACUAUUCUUGAGAGAUUUGAUUUUGGAGGAAACUCUAAUUAAAGAAUCAUGUGAUACUGACGUGCAAAUCGUUCAUGUUACUUGUGAAUAGGGGCGAAAGACUUAUCGAACCACUUAGUAGCUGGUUCCCCCUGAAGUUUCUCCUAGGAUAGCUGUUAAAUUACCAAUUAUGUACAGUAGAGAAAUGUUUGGCGGAAACAGAGUUGUAUGAUUUUGACCGACUCACAAACUACAAACGUAUAACUUUAUUAAAGAUUAAACUUUUGAUAAUAAAGGUGGUAUUAAUUAGUGGACCGUUUUUGGUAAGCAGAUGCGGUGCUUUGGAUUACUCCUAGCAUGAUGAUAAGGCGUAUUUAACUUGGAUUAUUGCUAUUAAAAGGUGUUGAUACAUUAAGACAGUCCGACGGUGGCCAUGGAAGUUGGAAUCCGCUAAGGAGUGUGUAACAACUCACGGACCGAAUGUAUUGGCCCUAAAAAUAGAUUACGCUUAAACCAUGUUGCUAAAACAUCAUAGAGAUUAUUUUUAUAAUUUUUUGUAAGGGGGCGUAAUGAUAAUUAUGGUUGAUGGAUGUGAAUUUGGCACAAAUUGUCAUUAGUGCAGAUCUUGGUUAAAGUAGCAAAGUUUAAAUCAUAUUUAAAGACAGAUGUGCAAAAGGUUUCCAUAUAAACAUUAAGUGGCUAUGGGUGAAUCGAUCUUAAUAGAAUUAAUCUAAAAAAGGAAAAUAGUUUAUAUUCUAUUAUUGAAAAAUAUAGUUAUUUAUAGCAACAUUCAAUGCUUUUUAUGGUUUGUAGUAGUGUUACUCAGUGCGUUAUCAAUGUAUUGUAAUUGAAGUAUAUCUGUUAAGGAAAGUUAUAUUAAGACGCAGAUUAAUUUCAGAAAUAUAAUCCUUUUGGAUUAAGUAAUUGCUAUUAUGAGACUUUUACAUAAAGAUGCUUAGCUUUUUAAAAAUCGUACCAAUAACCGCAUCAGGUCUGCAAGGUUUAUAACCUAUUGUUUAUGGAUUAAAACAAAUAAGGGAAAUCGGCAAAUUAGAUCUGUAACCUUGGGAAAAGGAUUGGCUCUGCGGAUUACUGGUUUAGUCUUGUAUAAGGCACUUGUGUUAAAACUCUGUUAUUUCAUUAGAUUGCUUUAUUCUGGCACUUACAGUUUUAAUCAUAGUAGAACUGAGGCUAUUAGGGGAAUCCGACAGUUUAACUAAAACCAAGCAUUUUGUUAAUGUUAUUUUUAUACAGAAUGUGAAUUCUGCCCAGUGCUUUGAAUGUCAAUGUGAGGUGGCUCAUAAAAGCGCGGGUUAACGGCAGGCGUAACUAUGACGCUUUCAACGUAGCAAAAUGCCUCGUCAUCUAAUUAGUGACUCGCAUGAAUGGAUUAAUGAGAUUCCUACUGUCUUUAUUUGUUUUCCAGCGAAAUAACUGGUCAGGGAACGGGCUGGCCUUUAACAGAACGGCAAGAAGACCCUGUUGAGGUUGACUCUAGCUAGUUAUUGUACAGUAGCUCAGACAGUGCAGUGUAUGUGGGAGCGUAAGCAUUAAUGAGACACCACAAUGUUUGAAGCCGCUGAACUGACUUUUUUAUACAAUAUUAAUUUAUUCAAAUAAUCUAAUAUUAUAAAAGGACAUAUACUGGUAGGGAGUUUGGCUGGGGCGGUACAUCUGUUAAAAUACACCACAGGUGUCCAAAGAUUAUCUCAAUAAGAACAGAAAUCUUAUGUGGACUAAAAAGAGAAAAGACAGUUUUAUUUAUUUUUUUGAAACGGGAACAAACUGUGAAAGCAUGGCUUAUCGAUCCUUUCAAGGUUAUAGGAAUUAUGCUGAGAGGUGUCUGAAAACUUACCACAGGGAUAACUGAUUUGUGGCAGCCAAGCGCUCAUAGCGACGUUGCUUUUUGAUCCUUCGAUGUCGGCUCUUCCUAUCAUGAAGUUGUAGAAGGCUUCAAGUGUUAGAUUGUUCACCUAUAAAAAGGGAUCGUGAGCUGGGUUCAGACCGUCGUGAGACAGGUUAGUUUUAUCCGUCUGUUAUUAAUAUGUUUUAGUAGUGUCGUUUAGUACGAGAGGAACUGUCACACUUAUCCUAUGCUUUUAAUAUGAGGAGAUAUCCUCUGUAUUUUAGGAACGAUAAAUGAUUUUAUACUGACAGCCUCUAAAUAUAAAUUCAGUUUAAAAUAUAUUAAAAAUGUAAAUUUGAGUCUAUAAGUCAUACUUAUAUAUGUAUAGAAGAUACUACGAAAGACCAUCGUUUUAAAUAAACAUAGUGUAUGUAUUCGAGCGGUUUUUGCUGCGAGAAAUUGAGCUAAUGUUUUCAUUGAUACAUAUUGU